rnacentral:rRNA from 1 species
GUCUAUGGUCAUGCCACCCUCAAUAUGCCUGAUCUCAUCUGAUCUCGGAAGCUAAGCAGGGUCGAGCCUGUUGGUACUUGGAUGGGAGACCACCUAGGAAGACCAGGUGCUGUAGGCU